CAGGCACACUCUCUAAUGUUUAUGGAUCAACAUUGCCACUGGUGUCUUAUAUAGGCCACAACAUUCACGUCUGACAUGUGCACACACUCAAGUUUAUACCCCAAACAAAGAGGAGGAGCAGGAGCUUCUUAUUCAGGUAAAAUAGAAAAUAUUCACUUUGGACCAGGCAGUGUCUGGGAACAUUCACACACAGUCCUCAGCUCCUGAACCGUCAACUCAGGUAAGAACAGGUGAGGUGGAGAGAAGUAGCAGGGGAGUCAGGGUCAGGGGAGAAGGUCACCUUUAUGUGGAUGUGUUGAUUGUAAAGUUGUAAGUGUGAAAAUGUAUUUUUAAAUCCUUCCGUAUUUAAAAAUGUAUGCCUUGAAAUUGGCGGAUGUGAAUGAAAAUUGAACAGGACUGAACUGCAAAAGUUUCCUUCAUUUGUGACAGGCGUUUGGGGAUUUUGUUUGAAUUUUAUGGCGUGAUAAACACUGCACUGAUUUUUGGGUUUCUCUUGCUUUAAGUUUAACAUUUUUAUAAGAUGACAGAACAUUUUUCCAAACUGGAUCAAUGUCAGUGUAUUUUGCAGCCUCUCUGAAAGACAAACGCCUGUCUGCACUUUGCCCUUGAGUCAUGUCAUGCUGACUUUUAAGCGACAGAUAUCGGGCCUGUUUGUUAACAAGGAAAUGGCUGUGAUAGAAGAUAUGUGACAUUCAACAGUCUUUCUGUUAUCUUUGCUCCCAUUGGAUGUCAAUUCCUUUAAAAAAAAUCACAAAAAGUUCUGGAGAUAUUUCCUGAGACUCAUUAUCUCCUUUUCUGAUUUGCAAAAGUGCUUUAAAUCAUUAAAUGUGUUUUCUAUUAUGUUACACUAACUCUGCUAUUGGAUUGGGUUAGGAUGUUUGAAUGAAAGGAAUGAAAAAUGGUGAAGCUAAAGAGAGGCAGAGCCAGAGAGUGUGAAGAGCUUUAGUCAAUCUGACCUCCAAAGACACACCCAAGGGUGUCCAAGAUCAUAUAGAGGUCACAGAGGUUAAGAGAGGUUUUGCUUUUCAACUUUUUCCCUACAUUUUAGAAAACUGUAAGAAGAUGCAACUUGACAAAUGAUGAUACAAGGAGGACAAUAUAGUCAGUGAAUGUAUUAGUUUUUCCAGUGUUUUUCCAACAAGUAAUGAAACAGCCUGGGAUAAUACUGAUGUCGUAUGGACUUAAAAAAAAGACAACUGGCGCUUAAUACCCUCUUUACUACGGAGUACGACGUAAAAAAAAUUAAGCCUUCGAGAUUAAAGUCGUUAACUUAUGAGAAUAGAGUAACUACUAACAAGAUUAAAAUCAUUACAAACGAGAAUGAAGUCACAAUAAACUCAUUACUUAUGAGAAUAAAGCCGUAGUAAAGUAAUUAUUUACUAAAAUAAAUUUGAAGUAAAGUAAUUACUUAUGAGAAUAAAGUCAGAAUAAAGUCAGUGUAUUCUAACCUGUUGUUUAAGAUGACAGUUGCUGAAAUGAGAGCCUUGGAGCAUUUCGUGAAAAUGUACUUCAAUAUAGGUUUCACAAACAAGGAGAUACUUAAUCUUUCUGGCACAUCAGCACCACAUUAUCAUUAGUAUCAUAAUGAUUUUAUUACAACUUUAUUCUCGUAAGUAAUGACUUCAUUCUCGUAAAUUAAUAAUUUUGAUCUCGAAGUCCUACUUUUUUUUCUCCUUAAUGUGGCCCAAAUACUCUGUCAUACUUCUUCAGCUUAUUAUAGUUAUAAUUAAUACCUGUAACCACUAUUUUCAGGAUAUCAGGCAAAAUGAGCUAUAGCUACAUGAUGAAUAUUUAAGGUUGUUUAAGACAGCAGGGUGAGGUUUUUUUUACUUACUACUUUGGCACAUGCAGGACAAGGUCACUAAGAGAUAAGAUGUGCUGCUUUGGCUAUAGGGGGCGGCAAAAUAAACACAAACACAAAAACUCUUCUCAGACACUUUCUUAAAAAGAGUUUCAGAACUUCUGCUUUUGUUCAUUUUAAAGUUGAACAACUCAUGCUGAAAAAAAGGCUCUGAAUUUCAAUCAUAAGCAGCUCAUGCAUUCAAGCUGAAAUCCAGAGAGAUGUCAGGAAAUAUCCAUAGAUACAGUAAAGCACAUGACUUGAUGUAUUAGACUCCGAGUGGGUUUGAAAGAAAGUUGUUCGGUAACCUGCUGCGUUUUGCCCCAAGACAAAAAUGAUCCUCUGUUUACUCUCCAAACACUCAGACUGCAUCCCUGCUGACGAGGCUCUGACCUCUCACACAACAAGGACAGUCUUCAGCUGGGGAAAGGGAGGAGUGUGUGGACUUGGUGUAUAUGCAUGUGUGAGAAGCAAGAGAAAUGGGAUGGGAAGAAAUCUACACUUCUUUGUGCAUUAUUUCCUCUCACAGUCAUGCUCUUUAUCUGCUUGCUCUUCUAUCUGACUUUCAGUUUAGUUGAAGAUGGGACAUCUCACUGUUGUGGCUGUUAUGGCAGGUAAAUAAAGUUGAAAACGGAUACCCAAUGUCAUCAGUGUGCAGAAACAUAUCUGACAGCAGUAACUAAGAAAGUGGAUGGAGUUCUUACAAUUAUCUUACAUUUGAUUACACUUUGUCAUUCAAGGAAAAUCUUUUGUUUUAUUUUAUGUUACUGAACUCAAAACCCACAAAAUUAAGCAUGCUUAUAAAGGUGCAAUCCAGACAUUCCCACAUUACUUUCUGUUUAUAUGUUGAAAAUGCUGACUGUGUGGCAGAACAGGUUUUUAACAGAAAGAUUAUCACAUGAAAACACUUCUUCAUUUCUUUGUCUUACAGUUCUCUUCUCACUUUUCAUGGAAACGGAAGCAAGUAAGGCCUGAACUCUACUUUCACUAAAUCCUGCUCUAAAACUGGUUUGUUGAGAAACUGGCAUGGGACAAAAUCAAACCAAUUAACCCCGUUUGUCUGAGCAACAAUGUCCCAUUUGUGAUUCUGAUUUCAUAUGAAAGACAAUUGUAAACAAUAAUUCUGUUAUGACUGCCAGAAAAGGGUUAAAGUCUCCAAUUGUUUGAAGAUAAAGAGAGUUUUAUCACUUUUUCCCCAUCCUUUUAAUAAUUUCUCUUCUCUUAUUUCUGUCUUGCAGAUCCAUUUUAUUACAGUAAGUACACUCUUAUCUUCUUAUAAUUCUUAUAAUCUAACAUAAACAGUCUUACAUCACGCAUCUUUUACUUAUGGUUAUAAAGUGAUUCCCAGUCAGUGUUUUACAAAGAUAUUAUAUUUUUUGCAAACUGUAAAUUCUUCGUAAAAAAGCACCCUUGCAAAUAUCUAAAUGAAUCUUUAAACUGAAGUACUUUGUUUUUUUUUAUGUUUAACCUCUAAAUAUCUGUCAUUAAUGUCUUCCAGACUAUGAAAGGCUACGAAUUGGAGGCCUGGUCUGUGCCUGCUUGUUGUUUGCUGGAGGACUCACCGUUAUUCUUUGUAAGUCCUGAAACCACACAGUUAUUUGAUGAGUCAAUCUGCGGAAAAGCGUUUUUGCUUUCAUUAAGUUAAGGAUGAUGUACAUACUUUACUUGUUCACUCUCAAUCUUACUAAACACCGCAAUAAAUGAAAAAAUCUGGCCUAACUGUAUACUGAAUUGUCUGUGACAUCCUGCUUUUUUUCCACAGAUAACAGAUGCUCCAGAAAGGGAAAGUAUGUCAUUUUUUCAGUUCUUCACAAGCGUAACUGUAUUUAGUGUUUGUGUCUCUGUUUAACCUUUAACGCCUAAUGUUCUCCUCUCGCUUCAUUCCCCCCUUUCUCCCUUUGUGGUUUUUUUUCCCCCAAAUUGCCGCCUCGCCUUUCCUCUCACCUUGCAGAAAAGUGGAAGAUGACAGCAGUGAAAUCUGAUAUGGUUCCUGUCAAACCAGUUUCAGCCAAGAAGAAAAGCUGACAUGUGAGGGGUGGAGUGAUAAUUGGUUGUUUGGUGGGGGGUUUGAAGGAAACACACUCACUCAGGUGAUUUAACCUGUACAGGCAUGUGCAGAGAAUACCGUAUUUUAUGUAAAAGAAGAGCAGAUGAAAAAUGAAAAAUAAGCCCUCUUGAUGUUUUCAAAAUGUACUGUUCUGACAUGCAACUCAGCCUCCUAUACAUUUAUAUACAUACACAAUACAUAUACACUUUUACACUAGAUUUAUGUUCCACAUAUUCAGCAUAAAUAAGUCAUCAUAACAACGUUGCACAUGUCUUAGGAUGGAAUCAGUGGGAUCAUAAUGUGAUGUGUAUUGCUGUUUAUUAAACAGUAGAGUUAGAUCCUCCACGUGGUCAACCAUUUCAAUACUAACAUAAUUAGAUAGAG
rnacentral:lncRNA from 1 species